AGGGCCACAUCCAGCGAACGAAGGGGCCGAGCCAGCGUCCACCUACAACGUUGCAACCUCAGUCGCCUUCCCUUCUCCCACCUAAGGAACCCUAGCCGCCGCCUCCUCCUCCUUCCAGGUCCCACCUCAGCCGCCUCCCACAUCCCCCCUCUCCCUCUCCCCCCGUCUCGUCUGCUCCGGGUGCGGAGGCGAGCUUCUCAGCGAUUGUGGCGCUGGCUCGAGGUGGGCACGCAGCCACUCCUUCUCUCCCUUCCACCGCCGCUCGUCGCAGCUCCUCCUCCCCGCCUAGCAGCGGCCAGAGAAGGGCUGCUCCGCCGCCCCGCCUCAUCUCCUCUUCCUCUCAUUCUGAGGGUGCCAGGAGCAUGGCCUCAAUCUGGAGCAGGAGAGGCCGGGAGUGAUAUGGGAGCAGCUCGGCUCCACCCCGAUGGUGACCGAUGCGCUCAGACUUUUGGCCCGGUCUCGCUGCCGCGCGCAGUCCACCUCUCCCCGCAGGCAUGCCGGCCACCUCCCCACCUGACGCACAUCUUCCCCAUGGGGCAAUGGAACACGGUGAGCAGUAGGUAGGAGCGUGCGGUGCUGAGAAGGCCGGCUCCGUCCUGCUCUUGUGCCACCGCCGACCCACCCGAGAAGCCCGUCCACACACCCGUCGGCUCCUCCUCAGCUCGUUCCCAUCUCUGGCAGGCAGGUGAGCUCCUGCUUCCUCUCCCUGUUUCCCUUUGAUUUUGUGCUGGCGUUGUACUGUGUGUUUAUGUUGUUGCUUUGUGAGAUAUGGCUACUACUUGUGCUGCUACAUGUGUGUGUUGCUGGUUCUGGUGCUGCAAAGCCUGGCUGCUGUUUGUCCUGACGCUUUGUGCUACUAGUUGCUGCUGGUUGCUUGUGUUGCUGGUAUGUGCUACACUGCUGCUACUUGCUGUUUGUUGCUUCCUUGUUUGGUUAUUUGUGAAACUGAAAUUCUUUGUGAAAAGAAAAUUUUGAAGAUAAGGCUAUAAGCUGAUGAGCUGACCUUCAUUUCCAUUUUUUAUUUAAUAAUUGAUGAAGGAUAUGUCAUAUAUUCAGUUGCUAACAUUUUCUCUCUAUGGUAUAAGAGAGGCUUCGGAUGCGAAGGCAGUAGCACGCAGCGCCAGAUCGAGCGCACAUACCUCGACGACAAGAGACCACGAGUUCCAUGCAUUUUGAAGCUACGACCGCUAGAAACCAGUGAAGAAUGAAGAAAGGAGGAUCUACCAGCAGCUUCGAGUAGGAGGAUGAGAUCUCGAUGGAGUUCAUGUUUCAGCAACCGUAGUAGCGCAUCCUCUGACCUCGACCUAGUCCGCCGUGAUGGAAAACGUUAAUAUUCCAACAAAAGUGCUUCCGGAUGCUACGAUGAGAUAGCGCUUGGCCUUCCAAGUGCAGCUAACUCAACACACAAGGCAAGGACCUCGAGGCAAGUGUUUAAUUCUAUCCAUUGAGUACCAGCUAAAUAAUGAACUUGCAAAGACAUUAAUAUCCAUCUAUGUCUAUGAAACUGCCCGAGGCUGAAGAUUGGCUGGCAGACGAACCUCUUAAAUACAUGGAAGUCUCUUACAACAAAGUGCUGCAAGACAUCAAUUAUGAUAAGUUGCAGUUGGUUGAACAAAAAGUAAUUCUCUGGAACACGAGCUGAAAGAAAAAGAUGGAAUCAUAGACUAUUUGAGGAGCAGCUGGUGGAUGAUGUCUAUGGAAGACAUUUCUGCUUUUGCCAAUCACAACCGGCCGCAACACACCCACCAUGAAGAGCAGCUUAGAUGAUGAGGUAAUUUUCGACACGGCUGGUACAUGCGCUACCUAAUCUAAAUACUGCAUAUCUUAGUUACCAUAAGCUGGGUGAUCAAAGCUAUCUAUAUGAUGCACCUCUGCCUAUUAGCUAAUCUCAUCCCUUUCUUUUGGCCUAUGUUCUUAUUUGACAAAGCUGAAGGAAGCACGUCCAGAUUGGUACUCUGGAUGGUGAGGUUAGAUUAAUUGACCACAAUUUCUAUUGACUUUUCCUGUACACAAUGUUCACAAGUUCAUGUAUUAAGUACAUUUUAGCGUGUCACUUGUGUUUACUCUUUUUUUAAUGCAAGUUUACAGCUACUCGGAGUUCCUAAUUGCAGACUCAACUAUCUUGACCUACCGAUGAUCUAAUUUGUGGCAUUAUUACCUUAAGAAAAUAUUUGCAUUUAAUUUCCUUUGUAUAUAGGGGUAUAAGUUCUUACCAAAUGUACUCAAAUAUACAGUUAUUAAAAAAAUGUAAAUAUUUUCA